rnacentral:rRNA from 1 species
CCGUAACUAUAACGGUCCUAAGGUAGCGAAAUUCCUUGUCGGGUAAGUUCCGACCCGCACGAAAGGCGUAACGAUUUGGGCACUGUCUCAACAACAGACUCGGUGAAAUUGUAAUACCGGUGAAGAUGCCGGUUACCUGCGACAGGACGGAAAGACCCCAUGGAGCUUUACUGUAGCUUGACGUUGGGUCUUGGUACUACAUGUACAGGAUAGGUGGGAGACUAUGAAGCAUGGACGCCAGUCUGUGUGGAGUCAUCCUUGGGAUACCACCCUUGUAGUACUGGGAUCCUAACCAUAGGCCUUGAAUCAGGUCUUGGAACACCGUCAGGUGGGCAGUUUGACUGGGGCGGUCGCCUCCUAAAAAGUAACGGAGGCGCUCAAAGGUUUCCUCAGCACGGUCGGAAAUCGUGCGAAGAGUGUAAAGGCAAAAGGAAGCUUGAUUGCAAGACAUACAGGUCGAGCAAGGACGAAAGUCGGACUUAGUGAUCCGGUGGUUCCGCAUGGAAGGGCCAUCGCUCAACGGAUAAAAGCUACCCUGGGGAUAACAGGCUUAUCUCCCCCAAGAGUCCACAUCGACGGGGAGGUUUGGCACCUCGAUGUCGGCUCAUCACAUCCUGGGGCUGUAGUAGGUCCCAAGGGUUGGGCUGUUCGCCCAUUAAAGUGGUACGCGAGCUGGGUUCAGAACGUCGUGAGACAGUUCGGUCCCUAUCCGUCGCAGGCGUAGGAAAUUUGAGGAGACCUGUCCUUAGUACGAGAGGACCGGGAUGGACGUACCGCUGGUGUACCAGUUGUUCUGCCAAGGGCAUAGCUGGGUAGCUAAGUACGGAAAGGAUAAGCGCUGAAAGCAUCUAAGCGCGAAGCCCACUUCAAGAUAAGAUUUCCCACCGCAAGGUUAAGAUCCCAGGAAGACUACCUGGUUGAUAGGUCAGAGGUGUAAGUGCAGUAAUGUAUUUAGCUUACUGAUACUAAUAGAUCGAGGACUUGACCAA